UGCAAACAGUUGUGUACAAAGAUGAUUUCACUGGAUGAAAUUCUGUCCUCCAAGAGCAGCUUUUAGUUGAGGAAAGACAACAAUACUAAUUGUAUGUUGGAGGGCAGAUGGAUUAAUGAGAGAGGUGGAAAGAUUGAUGAGAGAGGUGGAAAGAUUGAUGAGAGAGAGGUGGAAAGAUUGAUGAGAGAGGUGGAAAGAUUGAUGAGAGAGGUGGAAAGAUUGAUGAGAGAG